rnacentral:rRNA from 1 species
GCGGUNUAAUGACCGUGCGAAGGUAGCAUAAUCAUUAUUCUUUUNAAUUAAAGGCUUGUAUGAACGGGGGAACGAGAAAUAAACUUUCUUUACUAAAAAAAUUGAAUUUAACUUUUGAGUGAAAAGGCUUAAAUAAUCUAGAGGGACGAUAAGACCCUAUAAAGUUUUACAUUGAAAUNAUUANGAAGCAACUAAAAUAAAAAANGCUUGUUAAUGANUGGNGUGUUUUGUUGGGGUGACNAGAAUAUAAAUAGUAUAACUGUUNUUUANNAGAAACAAANUUAUUUGUUAAAGCGAUCUUUAAUUUAAAGUGNUAGAAUAAAUUACUUUAGGGNAUAACAGCNGUUAUUUUUUUUAANGAGUUCUUAUCAACAAAAAAGUUUGCCGACCUCGAUGUUGAAUUAAAGGNUUCU